rnacentral:rRNA from 1 species
AUUACCCAAUCCUGACACAGGGAGGUAGUGACAAGAAAUAACAAUACGGGACUAAGUCUUGUAAUUGGAAUGAUGGAGAUUUAAACCUCUUCCAGAGUAUCAAUUGGAGGGCAAGUCUGGUGCCAGCAGCCGCGGUAAUUCCAGCUCCAAUAGCGUAUAUUAAACUUGUUGCAGUUAAAAAGCUCGUAGUUGAAUUUCUGCCGUUUUUUAUUAGUUUCCUUACGGUAAAUUAUUAUAAAUCGGCAUUUGUCGUUAAAAGUAUUAAAAUAUUUUUAUCGAUAAUGUUACUUUGAGAAAAUUAGAGUGCUUAAAGCAGGCCUAGCCUUGAAUAAUUUAGCAUGGAAUAACAUAGUAGGACUUUGGUUCUAUUUUGUUGGUUUUAGGAACCAAAGUAAUGUUUAAUAGGAACAGUUGGGGGCAUUCGUAUUUAA